UACAGAGGUCUCAAGCGUUGUUCGGAUUCAUUGGGCGUAAAGGGUGCGUAGGUGGCGCUGUAAGUCGGGUGUGAAAUUUCGGAGCUUAACUCCGAAACUGCAUUCGAUACUGCGGUGCUUGAGGACUGGAGAGGAGACUGGAAUUCAUGGUGUAGCAGUGAAAUGCGUAGAGAUCAUGAGGAAGACCAGUUGCGAAGGCGGAUCUCUGGGCAGUUCCUGACACUGAGGCACGAAGGCCAGGGGAGCAAACGGG
rnacentral:rRNA from 1 species